AAAUUGAAGAGUUUGAUCAUGGCUCAGAUUGAACGCUGGCGGCAGGCCUAACACAUGCAAGUCGAACGGUAACAGGAAGCAGCUUGCUGCUUUGCUGACGAGUGGCGGACGGGUGAGUAAUGUCUGGGAAACUGCCUGAUGGAGGGGGAUAACUACUGGAAACGGUGGCUAAUACCGCAUAACGUCGCAAGACCAAAGAGGGGGACCUUCGGGCCUCUUGCCAUCAGAUGUGCCCAGAUGGGAUUAGCUAGUUGGUGAGGUAACGGCUCACCAAGGCGACGAUCCCUAGCUGGUCUGAGAGGAUGACCAGCCACACUGGAACUGAGACACGGUCCAGACUCCUACGGGAGGCAGCAGUGGGGAAUAUUGCACAAUGGGCGCAAGCCUGAUGCAGCCAUGCCGCGUGUAUGAAGAAGGCCUUAGGGUUGUAAAGUACUUUCAGCGGGGAGGAAGGUGUUGCGGUUAAUAACCGCAGCAAUUGACGUUACCCGCAGAAGAAGCACCGGCUAACUCCGUGCCAGCAGCCGCGGUAAUACGGAGGGUGCAAGCGUUAAUCGGAAUUACUGGGCGUAAAGCGCACGCAGGCGGUCUGUCAAGUCGGAUGUGAAAUCCCCGGGCUCAACCUGGGAACUGCAUUCGAAACUGGCAGGCUUGAGUCUUGUAGAGGGGGGUAGAAUUCCAGGUGUAGCGGUGAAAUGCGUAGAGAUCUGGAGGAAUACCGGUGGCGAAGGCGGCCCCCUGGACAAAGACUGACGCUCAGGUGCGAAAGCGUGGGGAGCAAACAGGAUUAGAUACCCUGGUAGUCCACGCCGUAAACGAUGUCUACUUGGAGGUUGUGCCCUUGAGGCGUGGCUUCCGGAGCUAACGCGUUAAGUAGACCGCCUGGGGAGUACGGCCGCAAGGUUAAAACUCAAAUGAAUUGACGGGGGCCCGCACAAGCGGUGGAGCAUGUGGUUUAAUUCGAUGCAACGCGAAGAACCUUACCUGGUCUUGACAUCCACAGAACUUUCCAGAGAUGGAUUGGUGCCUUCGGGAACUGUGAGACAGGUGCUGCAUGGCUGUCGUCAGCUCGUGUUGUGAAAUGUUGGGUUAAGUCCCGCAACGAGCGCAACCCUUAUCCUUUGUUGCCAGCGAUUAGGUCGGGAACUCAAAGGAGACUGCCAGUGAUAAACUGGAGGAAGGUGGGGAUGACGUCAAGUCAUCAUGGCCCUUACGACCAGGGCUACACACGUGCUACAAUGGCGCAUACAAAGAGAAGCGACCUCGCGAGAGCAAGCGGACCUCAUAAAGUGCGUCGUAGUCCGGAUUGGAGUCUGCAACUCGACUCCAUGAAGUCGGAAUCGCUAGUAAUCGUGGAUCAGAAUGCCACGGUGAAUACGUUCCCGGGCCUUGUACACACCGCCCGUCACACCAUGGGAGUGGGUUGCAAAAGAAGUAGGUAGCUUAACCUUCGGGAGGGCGCUUACCACUUUGUGAUUCAUGACUGGGGUGAAGUCGUAACAAGGUAACCGUAGGGGAACCUGCGGUUGGAUCACCUCCUUACCUUAAAGAA
rnacentral:rRNA from 1 species